AUUGAACGCUGGCGGCGUGCUUAACACAUGCAAGUCGAUCGGUAACGCGGGGGCAACCCUGGCGACGAGAGGCGGACGGGUGAGGAACGCUUGGGAAUCUGCCUAUCAGCGGGGGACAACCCGGGGAAACUCGGGCUAAUACCGCAUACGCUCUACGGAGGAAAGCCGGGGACCGCAAGGCCUGGCACUGAUAGAUGAGCCCAAGUCGGAUUAGCUAGUUGGUGAGGUAACGGCUCACCAAGGCCACGAUGCGUAGCCGACCUGAGAGGGUGAUCGGCCACACUGGGACUGAGACACGGCCCAGACUCCUACGGGAGGCAG
rnacentral:rRNA from 1 species